CACUGCCGAGAAAAGCCUCUAGAUAGAAAAUAGGUGCCCGUACCGCAAACCGACACAGGUAGUCAAGAUGAGAAUUCUAAGGUGAGCGAGCGAACUCUCGUUAAGGAACUCGGCAAAAUGACCCCGUAACUUCGGGAGAAGGGGUGCUCUUUAGGGUUAACGCCCAGAAGAGCCGCAGUGAAUAGGCCCAAGCGACUGUUUAUCAAAAACACAGGUCUCUGCUAAACCGUAAGGUGAUGUAUAGGGGCUGACGCCUGCCCGGUGCUGGAAGGUUAAGAGGAGUGGUUAGCUUCUGCGAAGCUACGAAUCGAAGCCCCAGUAAACGGCGGCCGUAACUAUAACGGUCCUAAGGUAGCGAAAUUCCUUGUCGGGUAAGUUCCGACCCGCACGAAAGGCGUAACGAUUUGGGCACUGUCUCAACGAGAGACUCGGUGAAAUCAUAGUACCUGUGAAGAUGCAGGUUACCCGCGACAGGACGGAAAGACCCCGUGGAGCUUUACUGUAGCCUGAUAUUGAAAUUCGGCACAGCUUGUACAGGAUAGGUAGGAGCCUUUGAAACGUGAGCGCUAGCUUACGUGGAGGCGCUGGUGGGAUACUACCCUAGCUGUGUUGGCUUUCUAACCCGCACCACUUAUCGUGGUGGGAGACAGUGUCAGGCGGGCAGUUUGACUGGGGCGGUCGCCUCCUAAAAGGUAACGGAGGCGCUCAAAGGUUCCCUCAGAAUGGUUGGAAAUCAUUCAUAGAGUGUAAAGGCAUAAGGGAGCUUGACUGCGAGACCUACAAGUCGAGCAGGGUCGAAAGACGGACUUAGUGAUCCGGUGGUUCCGCAUGGAAGGGCCAUCGCUCAACGGAUAAAAGCUACCCCGGGGAUAACAGGCUUAUCUCCCCCAAGAGUUCACAUCGACGGGGAGGUUUGGCACCUCGAUGUCGGCUCAUCGCAUCCUGGGGCUGUAGUCGGUCCCAAGGGUUGGGCUGUUCGCCCAUUAAAGCGGUACGCGAGCUGGGUUCAGAACGUCGUGAGACAGUUCGGUCCCUAUCCGUCGUGGGCGUAGGAAAUUUGAGAGGAGCUGUCCUUAGUACGAGAGGACCGGGAUGGACAUACCUCUGGUGUACCAGUUGUCGUGCCAACGGCAUAGCUGGGUAGCUAUGUGUGGACGGGAUAAGUGCUGAAAGCAUCUAAGCAUGAAGCCCCCCUCAAGAUGAGAUUUCCCAACUUCGGUUAUAAGAUCCCUCAAAGAUGAUGAGGUUAAUAGGUUCGAGGUGGAAGCAUGGUGACAUGUGGAGCUG
rnacentral:rRNA from 1 species